AUGAUUUUAUACCUGUGG
rnacentral:misc_RNA from 1 species